CUACGGGGCGCACCAGUGAGGAAUAUUGCACAAUGGGGGGAACCCUGAUGCAGCAACGCCGCGUGGAGGAUGACGCAUUUCGGUGUGUAAACUCCUUUUAUAUGUCAAGAAAAUGACGGUAGCAUAUGAAUAAGCACCGGCUAACUCCGUGCCAGCAGCCGCGGUAAUACGGAGAGUGCAGGCGUUACUCGGAAUCACUGGGCGUAAAGGACGCGUAGGCGGGUUGGAAAGUCAGGUGUGAAAUCCUACAGCUUAACUGUAGAACUGCACUUGAAACUUCUAAUCGAGAGUAUGGGAGGGGGAGAUGGAAUUAGUGGUGUAGGGGUAAAAUCCGUAGAUAUCACUAGGAAUACCUAAAGCGAAGGCGAUCUCCUGGAACAUUACUGACGCUAAGGCGUGAAAGCGUGGGGAGCAAACAGGAUUAGAUACCCCGGUAGUC
rnacentral:rRNA from 1 species